rnacentral:sRNA from 1 species
GAGAAAUUGGAAAAUAUUAAGUAGAAUCAAAAGAACUACUCAAAUUAUUUUAAACACUGAGGUCGAAGAGGAUGGAAAAUUAACGAUGAUUUCUCUAUUGAAGUUAAUGUCAUAAAGUUUGCUUUUACAUCUUUUAGGAACACGGUGUUAUAUUAUUCUAGGGCAUAAAUGAAAAUGUAUUUAAUUAUCUCAAGCUUUAUAUUUCUUAAUUAUUUAAAAAUACUUGUUUGUUACUACAAAAAUACAAGCUAGCAUUGAAAGUAGUAAUUUUCAUUGUCCACUCCCAUAGAAAAGAAUCAGGAAUAAACAUUCCAUUUGCUUGUUUCUUAGAGGAAAGUAUCUCUAGCAAACAGGUAUAUCAAAUGCUUCUAAAAAUAAUUUAAGUAAUUUCCUCCAAUCUUAUCCUGAGGAUGAUUUUAUACAUACACAUAUUUUUCACAAUAAACUUUUAAAAUUCCAUUAGAAAACAUUACAUGUAUUUUCUUCAGUUGUGAAGUGUUUACCAGUGACAGCACCAGAGAAUGGAAAAAUUGUCAGUAGUGCAAUGGAACCAGAUCGGGAAUACCGUUUUGGACAAGCAGUACGGUUUGUAUGUAACUCAGGCUACAAGAUUGAAGGAGAUGAAGAAAUGCAUUGUUCAGACGAUGGUUUUUGGAGUAAAGAGAAACCAAAGUGUGUGGGUAAGAUACACUUACUGUUUUAGUAUUUUUAGCUUUUUAAAUGUAAAUAUACAUUUAAAACAUCGUUCAUUCUAAGGAAUAUCAGCAAUAUUAACAAUAGCUAAUGUUUAUUGAGCACUUACUAUCUGCCUGUAAUUGAGCUAAGUUCUUUGCAUGCAUCAUUUCAUUUUAACUUUCAAAAAACUCCAUGAUUUAUUUACUCUUAUCACUUUUAUUUUAUAAUGGAAGAGACUGGUGCAAAGAAGUUAAAUCACAUGCCCUGGAUUAUCAUGGCAUAAAGAGUCAAGUUAGGAUUUAAAUGUAGGUUAUCUGACACCAGAGUCCAUGCUUUAACCAUAACUCCAUUGUAAUUGCCUCUUAGGCUGAAAUAGAAUGCUAAGUAUUUCUGCUGCAAGCUGUAAGACCUCUGGAAUAGACAUUUGUUUUUAUUUUGAAAGCCAAAGAUUCAUUAUGUAUUUCCAGAGAUACAUUAGAAUGACAUUCGUUUUUGAAUAACACUUUUAGGAAGCAGACCUAUUUUAUAUUUGCACUGCAAGUUUACUAUAAAUGUUGCUGAAUUGAACAGAAUCCACUAAAUAAAUUGUUGCCUCUUAAAAAAAGUUUUAUAGUAAACUGUAAGCCAGGAUUUUUUUAGUCAUAAUACUGCCAACCUGUGCAUCAUGACCAAUCAAAGAUUUUGGCUUCUGUGAUAAACAUUGUGGUUGAUUUGUUUAGUAGUACCAUAGUUCAAGUUCAUUUUACCAAUAAUUGUUUGGCAGAAGUUUCUGGCAUAUUUAUAUUUUAAUAUUAUCUAAAAUAUCUAAAUUAUUUUUACUAUUAAAGUCUGUUCUAUCUUAGAUACAGAUAAAAGAAUUUCUCUUCUUAAGAACACUUUGUAACAACAAUAGUUCUUUAUGUUAAAUCUAAUAUUUUUAUUCAGCAUAGCAAAUAUUAUGUACUUUAGAAGUACAUGGAUGGAAUUUACAUCCUUACAACUAGAUUCCUGUGGUUAGUGAAACCUUCCUGGAAUGGCUGAUGCCUACGAUUAAGUCUUAAAGAAAAAAACGAGAUUUUGUAGAUGAAAAUGAGAGCAAAAGCAUACCAGAGUUCAGGGAAAGGGAAGUGGAAGGGCAGUGAGGCUUUAAGGAGCAUGAAGCACCACUGAUUCUUGUCCAUUGUUCCUAGGCACCUUAGUCUAGGAUGCAAGUAGGGAAUGAGUCAGUGAUAAAUAGAAGGUGGGCCAAUACAUAGUGCUGAGGUGCUGCAUGCACCAUGCUGAAGAACGCAUCUUUUAUUCAGAUUGAUUUGGGAAUCAAUGAAGGAUUUCAAGUGGAGUUACGAUGUGUCUACCUGAGAGGUCAUUAAGCUAUACACAAGGAAAAUGGAUUAGAAAGUGGGAGAACAGAGUUUGGGAAACUACUUAUGAUUGGCACAAUCCCAGGUAAAAAUGUUUGAGAGAAGUGGGUAUAAAAGUUAUAAAAGAUAAUGGCCAUUUUUUUUUUUUUCUGAGGAAAUCUUGGCUAAAUAGUGAUGACACAAAAACAGGUCAGUUACUUUUCAGAGAUGUAAUGACAAUGAGUUAAAUCAAUGUCUUUGACAAAAAGUCCUGUUGAUAAUUCCUGUCUUAUCAAUAACUAGAAGAUGUGUUAUUUUUUGCAGGUCAUUCAGUGAAAACAUCACAAUAAAACUAUAUUUAUGAUCAAUUUUAUUUAUACAGUUGAUGAAUGUUACUGGUCACUAUUUAUUUCAAGAAGGCUAAUUUAUCCUGAAACUAAAUAAAAUCAGAAGCAUAAUUUUAAUCAGAAUUUUAACUUUCUUCAGAUAAAUCAUUUAUUAAGCGGUCAAGUCAAAACAGAACUUUUGUUUGGUUGACUGAUUUACCUGAUGGAAACAACAUUUCUGUUUUCAUAUAAUUAUGUCCUGGUCACAGUCCUUUAAUUUGCAAUAAACAUUUUGGAAUUUAAUCCCUUUUAUUUAGAAAUUUCAUGCAAAUCCCCAGAUGUUAUAAAUGGAUCUCCUAUAUCUCAGAAGAUUAUUUAUAAGGAGAGUGAACGAUUUCAAUAUAAAUGUAACAUGGGUUAUGAAUACAGUGAAAGAGGAGAUGCUGUAUGCACUGAAUCUGGAUGGCGUCCAUUGCCUUCAUGUGAAGAAAAAACAUGUGGUAAUCCUUAUAUUCCAAAUGGUGACUACUCACCUUUAAGGAUUAAACACAGAACUGGAGAUGAAAUCACGUACCAGUGUAGAAAUGGUUUUUAUCCUGCAACCCAGGGAAAUACAGCAAAAUGCACAAGUACUGGCUGGAUACCUGCUCCAAGAUGUACCUUGAAACCUUGUGAUUAUCCAAACAUUAAACAUGGAGGUCUAUAUCAUGAGAAUAUGCGUAGACCAUACUUUCCAGUAGCUGUAGGAAAAUAUUACUCCUAUUACUGUGAUGAACGUUUUGAGACUGCAUCAGGAAGUUACUGGGAUUACAUUCAUUGCACACAAGAUGGAUGGUCGCCAGCAGUACCAUGCCUCAGAAAAUGUUAUUUUCCUUAUUUGGAAAAUGGAUAUAAUCAAAAUUAUGGAAGAAAGUUUGUACAGGGUAAAUCUAUAGACGUUGCCUGCCAUCCUGGCUACGCUCUUCCAAAAGAGCAGACCACAGUUACAUGUAUGGAGAAUGGCUGGUCUCCUACUCCCAGAUGCGUCCGUGUCAAAACAUGUUCCAAAUCAAGUAUAGAUAUUGAGAAUGGGUUUAUUUCUGAAUCUCAGUAUACAUAUGCCUUAAAAGAAAAAGCAAAAUAUCAAUGCAAACUAGGAUAUGUAACAGCAGAUGGUGAAACAUCAGGAUCAAUUACAUGUGGGAAAGAUGGAUGGUCAGCUCAACCCACGUGCAUUAAAUCUUGUGAUAUCCCAGUAUUUAUGAAUGCCAGAACUAAAAAUGACUUCACAUGGUUUAAGCUGAAUGACACAUUGGACUAUGAAUGCCAUGAUGGUUAUGAAAGCAAUACUGGAAGCACCACUGGUUCCAUAGUGUGUGGUUACAAUGGUUGGUCUGAUUUACCCAUAUGUUAUGAAAGAGAAUGCGAACUUCCUAAAAUAGAUGUACACUUAGUUCCUGAUCGCAAGAAAGACCAGUAUAAAGUUGGAGAGGUGUUGAAAUUCUCCUGCAAACCAGGAUUUACAAUAGUUGGACCUAAUUCCGUUCAGUGCUACCACUUUGGAUUGUCUCCUGACCUCCCAAUAUGUAAAGAGCAAGUACAAUCAUGUGGUCCACCUCCUGAACUCCUCAAUGGGGAUGUUAAGGAGAAAACGAAAGAAGAAUAUGGACACAGUGAAGUGGUGGAAUAUUAUUGCAAUCCUAGAUUUCUAAUGAAGGGACCUAAUAAAAUUCAAUGUGUUGAUGGAGAGUGGACAACUUUACCAGUGUGUAUUGUGGAGGAGAGUACCUGUGGAGAUAUACCUGAACUUGAACAUGGCUGGGCCCAGCUUUCUUCCCCUCCUUAUUACUAUGGAGAUUCAGUGGAGUUCAAUUGCUCAGAAUCAUUUACAAUGAUUGGGCACAGAUCAAUUACGUGUAUUCAUGGAGUAUGGACCCAACUUCCUCAGUGUGUGGCAAUAGAUAAACUUAAGAAGUGCAAAUCAUCAAAUUUAAUUAUACUUGAGGAACAUUUAAAAAACAAGAAGGAAUUCGAUCAUAAUUCUAACAUAAGGUACAGAUGUAGAGGAAAAGAAGGAUGGAUACACACAGUCUGCAUAAAUGGAAGAUGGGAUCCAGAAGUGAACUGCUCAAUGGCACAAAUACAAUUAUGCCCACCUCCACCUCAGAUUCCCAAUUCUCACAAUAUGACAACCACACUGAAUUAUCGGGAUGGAGAGAAAGUAUCUGUUCUUUGCCAAGAAAAUUUUCUAAUUCAGGAAGGAGAAGAAAUUGCAUGCAAAGAUGGAAGAUGGCAGUCAAUACCACUCUGUGUUGAAAAAAUUCCAUGUUCACAACCACCUCAGAUAGAACACGGAACCAUUAAUUCAUCCAGGUCUUCACAAGAAAGUUAUGCACAUGGGACUAAAUUGAGUUAUACUUGUGAGGGUGGUUUCAGGCUAUCUGAAGAAAAUGAAACAACAUGCUACAUGGGAAAAUGGAGUUCUCCACCUCAGUGUGAAGGCCUUCCUUGUAAAUCUCCACCUGAGAUUUCUCAUGGUGUUGUAGCUCACAUGUCAGACAGUUAUCAGUAUGGAGAAGAAGUUACGUACAAAUGUUUUGAAGGUUUUGGAAUUGAUGGGCCUGCAAUUGCAAAAUGCUUAGGAGAAAAAUGGUCUCACCCUCCAUCAUGCAUAAGUAUGGUGCAUUGAAUUUUAUUAUAUGUAUGAUAAAUAUUCUUCAUUCAAAGUGUAAGUGGUACCAAUAAGAAAGUAAACAGGGACUCUAGAAAUUCAUAAGGUUUUCUUGAAUAUUCUGGACUGUUGUGGGAAAUUAUAGCUGUAGUAAUUUAAAAAUUUGACAUUAUAAGCCAAAUUAGUUCAUUUUCGCAUCAUCUUGUGUGAACUUUAAGCAUCCUCUGAUGUAUAUUCUCAGACUUCUCAUCUCUGUUCUUAGGGCACAGCUGCCUCUACUCAUCAAUCUCCACAUUAUUCAAUCUUCUGUCAGUUUAUCAACAAUCUCCCUAUAAGUACAUUUUCUGAAAUAUUUAAAAAAAUCAUUAUAAGUAUUUCACAUUUGAUAGAAGCAAAAAAUUUGGAAAUACACACACAAUAUAGGUGGUGUAUUAUUCCGUUUUCACACUGCUGUAAAGACCUUCCUGAGACUGGGUAAUUUAUAAAAGAAAAAAUUUUAAUUGAUCACAGUUCCUCAUGACUGAGGAGGUGUCAUGAAACUUACCAUUACCGCUGAAGGGGAAGCAGGCACCUUCUUCACAAGGUGGCAGGAGAGAGAGGAGUGAGUGAAGGAGGAACUUCUAAACAGUUAUUAAAUCAUCAUAUCUUGUGAGAACUCACUCACCAUCAUGAGAACAGCAUGUGGGAAACUGCCACCAUGAUCCAAUCACUUCCCACCAGGUCUCUCUCUCAACACCUGGAGAUUAUUAUUCAAGAUGAGAUUUGGGUGAGGACACAAAGCCUAACCAUAUCAGGUGGCAAGUAUGGACAAAAAAUAAUGUGAACAAAAAAAUGUGUAAUCUCAAUUGCUACGGCUACCAAUAUCUCUUCAGGCUUCUAAUAUCAUUUCUAUCUUGUAUUUUUAAUAGAUUUAGAAGAAUUUAAUGUAAUUAAGACAAAAUGGCUAAUAUAUUUUCUCAAGUUAUAAGAAAAAUGUUGUACAGUAUUCAUUGAUUCUAUAUAUCGCUAUUUUAGAAUCCAUUACAUGUAUUGUAUGUAACCUAUUUUUAAAGAUUUGCUGAACAAAUACAUAUUUUUCCUAUUUCAGAAACAGAUUGUCUCAGUUUACCUAGCUUUGAAAAUGCCAUACCCAUGGGAGAGAAGAAGGAUUUGUAUAAGGCGGGUGAGCAAGUGACUUACACUUGUGCAACAUAUUACAAAAUGGAUGGAGCCAGUAAUGUAACAUGCAUUAAUAGCAGAUGGACAGGAAGGCCAACAUGCAGAGACACUUCCUGUGUGAAUCCGCCCACAGUACAAAAUGCUUAUAUAGUGUCGAGACAGAUGAGUAAAUAUCCAUCUGGUGAGAGAGUACGUUAUCAAUGUAGGAGCCCUUAUGAAAUGUUUGGGGAUGAAGAAGUGAUGUGUUUAAAUGGAAACUGGACAGAACCACCUCAAUGCAAAGAUUCUACGGGAAAAUGUGGGCCCCCUCCACCUAUUGACAAUGGGGACAUUACUUCAUUCCCGUUGUCAGUAUAUGCUCCAGCUUCAACAGUUGAGUACCAAUGCCAGAACUUGUAUGAACUUGAGGGUAACAAGCGAAUAACAUGUAGAAAUGGACAAUGGUCAGAACCACCAAAAUGCUUACAUCCGUGUGUAAUAUCCCGAGAAAUUAUGGAAAAGUAUAACAUAGCAUUAAGGUGGAAAGCCAAAGAGAAGAUUUAUUCGAGAACAGGUGAAUCAGUUGAAUUUAUAUGUAAAAAUGGAUAUCGUCUUUCACCAAGUUCUCACGCAUUGCGAACAGCAUGUUGGGAUGGGAAACUGGAGUAUCCAACUUGUGUAAAAAGAUAGAAUCAAUCAUAAAAUGCACACCUUUAUUCAGAACUUUAGUAUUAAAUCAGUUCUUAAUUUCAUUUUUUAAGUAUUGUUUUACUCCUUUUUAUUCAUAUGUAAAAUUUUGGAUUAAUUUGUGAAAAUGUAAUUAUAAGCUGAGACCGGUGGCUCUCUUCUUAAAAGCACCAUAUUAAAACUUGGAAAACUAA